rnacentral:rRNA from 1 species
GACGAACGCUGGCGGCGUGCCUAAUACAUGCAAGUCGAACGAACCGCGACUAGGUGCUUGCACUUGGCCAAGGUGAGUGGCGAACGGGUGAGUAACACGUGGGUAACCUACCUCAUAGUGGGGGAUAACAGUCGGAAACGACUGCUAAUACCGCAUAGGACAUAGGAUCACAUGAUCCAGUGAGGAAAGGUGGCGCAAGCUAUCGCUAAGAGAUGGACCCGCGGUGCAUUAGCUAGUUGGUAGGGUAAAGGCCUACCAAGGCGAUGAUGCAUAGCCGACCUGAGAGGGUGAUCGGCCACAUUGGGACUGAGACACGGCCCAAACUCCUACGGGAGGCAGCAGUAGGGAAUCUUCCGCAAUGGACGCAAGUCUGACGGAGCAACGCCGCGUGAGUGAAGAAGGUCUUCGGAUCGUAAAGCUCUGUUGUUAGAGAAGAACAGCGCAUAGAGUAACUGUUAUGCGUGUGACGGUAUCUAACCAGAAAGCCACGGCUAACUACGUG